rnacentral:rRNA from 1 species
CCUACGGGGAGCUGCAGUGGGGAAUAUUGGACAAUGGGCGAAAGCCUGAUCCAGCCAUGCCGCGUGUGUGAAGAAGGCCUUCGGGUUGUAAAGCACUUUCAGUGGGGAAGAAAGCCUUGGGGCUAAUACCCUCGAGGAAGGACAUCACCCACAGAAGAAGCACCGGCUAACUCCGUGCCAGCAGCCGCGGUAAUACGGAGGGUGCGAGCGUUAAUCGGAAUUACUGGGCGUAAAGCGCGCGUAGGCGGUCUGAUAAGCCGGUUGUGAAAGCCCCGGGCUCAACCUGGGAACGGCAUCCGGAACUGUCAGGCUAGAGUGCAGGAGAGGAAGGUAGAAUUCCCGGUGUAGCGGUGAAUUGCGUAGAGAUCGGGAGGAAUACCAGUGGCGAAGGCGGCCUUCUGGACUGACACUGACGCUGAGGUGCGAAAGCGUGGGUAGCAAACAGGAUUAGAUACCCUGGUAGUC